UGACAAGACAUAAAGCUACUCUGAGAGUAAACCUUGACAUUGUACUUUGCAAAGAUCUUCUAGCAGAACAUUCCUUCACUGAGAGUUGACACUUAGUAUGCCUCCUUUUUGAAGAACCCGGAACAAGUGUCUACAAACGUGUUCUCAAGCAGCGUAGCAAUCAGAUAGCAUCCUGGUGGAGGCUUCGUAAUGCAACAACAAAGGAGUGAGGUUAUCUUCGGCUGGAGAAAAACUCUCCCAGG